rnacentral:rRNA from 1 species
GACGAACGCUGGCGGCGUGCUUAACACAUGCAAGUCGAACGGAAAGGCCCUGCUUGCAGGGUACUCGAGUGGCGAACGGGUGAGUAACACGUGGGUGAUCUGCCCUGCACUUCGGGAUAAGCCUGGGAAACUGGGUCUAAUACCGGAUAGGAGCCAUUUUUAGUGUGAUGGUUGGAAAGUUUUUUCGGUGUAGGAUGAGCUCGCGGCCUAUCAGCUUGUAGGUGGGGUAAUGGCCUACCAAGGCGGCGACGGGUAGCCGGCCUGAGAGGGUGGACGGCCACAUUGGGACUGAGAUACGGCCCAGACUCCUACGGGAGGCAGCAGUGGGGAAUAUUGCACAAUGGGCGCAAGCCUGAUGCAGCGACGCCGCGUGGGGGAUGACGGCCUUCGGGUUGUAAACUCCUUUCGCUAGGGACGAAGCUUUUUGUGACGGUACCUAGAUAAGAAGCACCGGCUAACUACGUG